AUUGAACGCUGGCGGCAGGCUUAACACAUUCAAGUCGAGCGAGCGGCGGAAGGGUGAGUAAUGUCUGGGAAACUGCCUGAUGGAGGGGGAUAACUACUGGAAACGGUAGCUAAUACCGCAUACCAUCAGAUGUGCCCAGCUGGGAUUAGCUAGUAGGUGGGGUAAUGGCUCACCUAGGCGACGAUCCCUAGCUGGUCUGCGAGGAUGACCCGCCAAACUGGAACUGAGACACGGUCCAGACUCCUACGGAAGGCAGCAGUGGGGAAUAUUGCACAAUGGGCGCAAUCCUGAUGCAGCCAUGCCGCGUGUGUGAAGAAGGCCUUCGGGUUGUAAAGCACUUUCAGCGAGGAGGCGUUACUCGCAGAAGAAGCGCCGGCUAACUCCGUGCCAGCAGCCGCGGUAAUUC
rnacentral:rRNA from 1 species